rnacentral:rRNA from 1 species
UACGUAGGGUGCGAGCGUUGUCCGGAAUUAUUGGGCGUAAAGAGCUCGUAGGCGGUCCGUCGCGUCGAAUGUGAAAACCCGGGGCUCAACCCCGGGCUUGCAUUCGAUACGGGCGGACUAGAGUUCGGUAGGGGAGACUGGAAUUCCUGGUGUAGCGGUGAAAUGCGCAGAUAUCAGGAGGAACACCGGUGGCGAAGGCGGGUCUCUGGGCCGAUACUGACGCUGAAGAGCGAAAGCGUGGGGAGCGAACAGG